rnacentral:rRNA from 1 species
GUCUACAGACAUACCACCCUGAACUCGCCCAAUCUCAUCUGAUCUUGGAAGCUAAGCAGAGACAGGCCUGGUUAUUACUUGGAUGAGAGACAGAUCUUCAGGAGAGACUGUUCAGAGACUAGCAAUUUGGAGACA